rnacentral:rRNA from 1 species
UACAGAGGUCCCAAGCGUUGUUCGGAUUUACUGGGCGUAAAGGGUGCGUAGGCGGUAGUGCAAGUUGGGUGUGAAAUGCCGAGGCUCAACCUCGGACAUGCACUCAAUACUGCUUUACUUGAGCGUUGUAUAGGAAGUUGGAACUUACGGUGUAGCAGUGAAAUGCGUAGAUAUCGUAAAGAAGGCCAGUGGCGAAAGCGAACUUCUGGGCAACUGCUGACGCUGAGGCACGAAAGCUAGGGGAGCAAACGGG